rnacentral:lncRNA from 1 species
UAAGCUUUAAAAGGCGAUGAAGCUUAAACUAAAGUAAAAGAAAAUUGAAAUAAACAAUAUUAAAUGAAUACAGUCAAUGACAAGAAUAAAGUAUGUUUCGAUUAAAGAAAAAAAAAGGUACAAAGAAAAAGGGAUGCAGACUCACAUAAUUGCUCAUAAAAUGUUUCACUCGUUUGCUUGGGUACGCCAGUUUUAUAGAGUGUAUAUGAAAUUUGUGACCUUGAUUAUAACACAUGAGUCUAGUAUAUAUGAUAAACUAUAAAU